rnacentral:lncRNA from 1 species
GGAGAGCAGUGCAGCGGUACAUACUCAGGAAAGGAAACGGAGAUCAGUGGAUGGGGAUAGAAGGGAAGAGAAUGAGUACCUGAUCGGGGACACUCCUGUUCGAGUUCGUGGGCGGCGGGAGAUGGGAACGACGGCUGCGUUGAUGGGGGUGGGAUGAUGGCUGCGGCGGCUCGGGCGAGUACGGUGACACCAACAACCGCGCAACGGGCAUGAUGGCCCAGAUGACGGCCACAGCAAUGGGGACGGCGGCCGCGAUGACGAGGAGGGCGGCCAUGAUAGUGAUGGCGCCCCUCAAGAGUUCACAUGCGGCAGUGGUGAAGAUGCCCCGAGACGAGAUGUGGCUACUGGUAUGAGAUUUCUGAGGUGUGAGAGAUGCGGCUGCUGUGGUGGGUUAUGGCUGGAGAUAGGGUUUUCAGUGACACUCUGCCUGGUGGGACGCGCUAAUUUUAGUGCACGUGAGUGGGCUGGGCCGAGCAUGCCAAAAUGAAAAUGGGCUGUACCAGCCAAUCGUUCUGACUCUAAGAUGUGUUUGAAGCGACCAAUGAUCUGAUGUAAAUAGCUAAA